UACGUAGGGUGCGAGCGUUAAUCGGAAUUACUGGGCGUAAAGCGUGCGCAGGCGGUUCGUUAAGUCAGCUGUGAAAGCCCCGGGCUCAACCUGGGAACUGCGGUUGAAACUGGCGAACUAGAAUCUGGCAGAGGGGGAUGGAAUUCCACGUGUAGCAGUGAAAUGCGUAGAGAUGUGGAGGAACACCGAUGGCGAAGGCAGCCCCCUGGGCUGAGAUUGACGCUCAGGCACGAAAGCGUGGGGAGCAAACAGG
rnacentral:rRNA from 1 species